AUACCGCAUAACAACUUGGACCGCAUGGUCCGAGCUUGAAAGAUGGCUUCGGCUAUCACUUUUGGAUGGUCCCGCGGCGUAUUAGCUAGAUGGUGGGGUAACGGCUCACCAUGGCAAUGAUACGUAGCCGACCUGAGAGGGUAAUCGGCCACAUUGGGACUGAGACACGGCCCAAACUCCUACGGGAGGCAGCAGUAGGGAAUCUUCCACAAUGGACGAAAGUCUGAUGGAGCAACGCCGCGUGAGUGAAGAAGGGUUUCGGCUCGUAAAACUCUGUUGUUAAAGAAGAACAUAUCUGAGAGUAACUGUUCAGGUAUUGACGGUAUUUAACCAGAAAGCCACGGCUAACUACGUGCCAGCAGCCGCGGUAAUACGUAGGUGGCAAGCGUUGUCCGGAUUUAUUGGGCGUAAAGCGAGCGCAGGCGGUUUUUUAAGUCUGAUGUGAAAGCCUUCGGCUCAACCGAAGAAGUGCAUCGGAAACUGGGAAACUUGAGUGCAGAAGAGGACAGUGGAACUCCAUGUGUAGCGGUGAAAUGCGUAGAUAUAUGGAAGAACACCAGUGGCGAAGGCGGCUGUCUGGUCUGUAACUGACGCUGAGGCUCGAAAGUAUGGGUAGCAAACAGGAUUAGAUACCCUGGUAGUCCAUACCGUAAACGAUGAAUGCUAAGUGUUGGAGGGUUUCCGCCCUUCAGUGCUGCAGCUAACGCAUUAAGCAUUCCGCCUGGGGAGUACGGCCGCAAGGCUGAAACUCAAAGGAAUUGACGGGGGCCCGCACAAGCGGUGGAGCAUGUGGUUUAAUUCGAAGCUACGCGAAGAACCUUACCAGGUCUUGACAUACUAUGCAAAUCUAAGAGAUUAGACGUUCCCUUCGGGGACAUGGAUACAGGUGGUGCAUGGUUGUCGUCAGCUCGUGUCGUGAGAUGUUGGGUUAAGUCCCGCAACGAGCGCAACCCUUAUUAUCAGUUGCCAGCAUUAAGUUGGGCACUCUGGUGAGACUGCCGGUGACAAACCGGAGGAAGGUGGGGAUGACGUCAAAUCAUCAUGCCCCUUAUGACCUGGGCUACACACGUGCUACAAUGGAUGGUACAACGAGUUGCGAACUCGCGAGAGUAAGCUAAUCUCUUAAAGCCAUUCUCAGUUCGGAUUGUAGGCUGC
rnacentral:rRNA from 1 species